GUGCAUAUCUCUCUUGUUCCUCUCACUCUCUCAACCUUCUCUCAUUUCUUCCUCUCUUUCUCUCUGCUUCUCUAUCCAUAUCUCUCUCUUAUUCUUCUCACUCUCUCAACCUUUUGUCUCAUUUCUUAACUCUAAUACAAGAGGUUUUGUGUUAGGUUAGCAAGUAAUUGUUCAUCUCUUUCAUACAAGUGAAGGCAGAAAUUCAUCUUUUUUUGAAGAAAUUAGAUUGUGCAUCUUCUUCAUCUAACUGAAGAAGAUUUUGAAAAUAAUUUCCUUAGAAGAAAAAUGUUAAAAGUGUCGGAGUUGGAGAAGGACUUGUUGCUGAGAUGAAAUUUUCUUACAGAAAUGCAAGAACUUUGUGGUUUGUGUUCAUUUUUAUUUACUUUUGUUUUUGCUUAAAAUCAUAACCACUUUUUGCUUAAAUUAUAAUCACUUUUAAAAGUGUUUAACAUUUAAACCCUUUAAGAUUUGUUUGCUCUAGGUUGCAACUUCUACAAGAAGAACAACUACUUCACAGAUUCCAAGGUUUGAAAAUUGAUUUUAGUGAGACUUGUCCACAUCACUACUAUAAGUGCAUGUUUAGUGUAACUUUUGGAAGGGUCAAAAGCAAUUUUAGAAAUGUAGAAUUGAUUUUAGGUGAUUUAAAGAUGUUUGUUUAGGAAAAAGUAGAAUUGAUUUUGUCUCAAGAAUUGAUUCUACUUGAAGAUAGAAUUUGUAGCUUCUGCCUCCAAAAUUGAUUCUGGAUAUUUUUUAUACUGAAAUUUAUUGUUCAACUCAUUUUUACAUAAAUGUAUCUAAACAUAAAUCAAUUAUGCUAAACUCAAUUUUAAUAGAAUCAAUUCUACCAAACUUAAUUCUGCUAGAAUCAAUUCAGUCCACUGCCAAUCCAAAGACACCCUAAGUUUUUUUAUUUGCUACCAUUGUUGAAGUGGAAACUACUGUAUGUGUUGUUAUAAUUUCUAAAGACAUAAAAAUGUGGCAAUAAUCUAACCAACUCCUAAUGUAGCAUUGAAAGAUAGUGAUGCAUUAUUUUUAUUCUAUUACUUUUAUAUUUUAAAGUUGUGGAUAGACUUUUAAAACAUUAAUUUUCAAAGAUGAAGCAAAUAAAUUUAUUUUUUUAAAGAAUUAUUUUUUAGUGAAUUAUUUUUGAAAAAGUCAUGGCUGGUCGACACAGGUAACUAAUUAUUUUUUUAAAAUCUUUUCCAAUAAAAAUAUUGAGAACUUUAAAAUUUAAUAUAUCAAGGUAGGGGGCUCAUGAGUCAUAAUUUGUAUAACUUUUUAGAAGAAAAAAAUCAUAUAUUAUAAAUAAUCGAUAUUAUAUAUCUAAAAUAAGGUUUCUAAAUGAUACUUAGAAACUGAAUUUCAAAAUAUAUUUUUAUGUUGCUAUUAUAUAUUCCUAACGAAUAAUUUUAUUUUGAUAUUUUUAGUAAAUGUGUGAUCUUAAUAUCUAUUUUUUAAUUAAAUAUCAACGUUACAAAAAUAUAGUCAAAGACCCACACACUAACACUAAUGAUUCAAUAUUCUUCGCCUUCUAUUUUAUUUUUCAUAUAUUAAUAUUUUUGAUGAUGUUGAUUAACUAUAGAAAACAAAUUUUGACCAAUGAAAAAACUCCAUAUACCAUUUCAAGAGUAUCUUAUAUUUUCUCGGGAUAUUCACAAGUAUGAACAUAAAAGAACUGACUAUCAUUUAAAGACAUAACUAACAAAUUCUUUAUUUUGAAAUCAAAUUAGAACUUUCUCUUAUCCUCCAUGGGCCAAAGGAAAUCAAGUUUAUCUACUACUUCUCCAUUUAUAUGGUGAGUAGGGAUAACAGGACAAUAAUUAUUGUCUCCCACAAUUCAAAAUAAAAACUUUGAUUGAAGAUUUUAAAUCUUACUUGGCAUAGUUCAAACCUAUCACCAUUAAACAAUGUAGGUGUGAUUAGGAAAUAUCUCUUCUUAAUAAUAGUGUUGUAAUUCAUCCUCCUCCUAAAUCAGAGUUUAAAUAUAUUUUCAAGAAAAUGAUUGAAUAUUGUAGUGGAAAAUCAGGGUAAAGAAAAUAUGCAAAAAAGUAAAGAGAUAAGAGAAAAUAGAUGACACUGAAGAUUUAUAGAGGUUCAAUAUGAAUUAAGUGACCUACUCCUCUACCCAAGGAUUGAUCUUGAUACUUUCCAAUAAUGCUUAUGAUCUUUUAGAAGGUUAUGCCCACGAACCCCAAGCUAAAUUGAGAUUUUGGAUGGACUUAUCUCGAACUAAUGUGGAGUUUUUGUAGAUGUUUUCAUGUUGGCUGCAUUUGUGGUAAAACAUACCUGGGUGUUUAAUGUCUUGACAAAUGUCAUGACAUGCUUUAUAUGGUGUUAUGCAGGUUGCAUAUGUUUAAACUAAUACAUGUUUUGUUAGUAAAUGUCAUGACUGAUGUCAUGACAUCCAUGUUUGACAGUAGGAGCUGUUAUGUUUUUCUAUUAUGUUUCCUGAUUUCUCUCAAUCUACAAUUUAGGAAACAUUUUAUUAUGUGCUCAAUAUUUCGCCUAGAAGAUUUCGUUAACAACACAUUAUGUAACAGCCUGAUGACGUGUGAAUUAGGUUAACUUGGUUAACCCUAUUUUGUUUCUUAAAAAGCCCGAUGCCCAAGAGCUGUAUAUAAGAAGACUCCAAUCCUAAUUUGGAAUGCAAUGAGAUUUGUUAUUUGUGAAGAACCGUAGUUCUGUGUGUGUUUAGUCUCUUGUACUCUAAGCAAUUGUCUUUUGAUGAUUGUAUUGGAAUAAGUGUUUUUGUACUUUGUCACUCUAAGCUUUUAAGCACGAGUGUGUGCCUCUUGAUUGAAGCUUUUAAGCAGAUCAAGGUGUGUUUUUGAAGUGUGUCUUCUCUUUUUUUUUUUAUAGUAAAGUCUGUUUGUAAUCACUGUAGUGAUUGAGGGGGAGUGAGUGGAGAUACUCAGGUCUAGGACUAGAUUGGAAUUGCAUUGGGUAGGCCUUAAGUGAUGAGUUGUAAACGAAGGAGUUUAGCUCUGAAUUAAUACUGCUUAUAUUGGAUUCCCUCCCUGGCUUGGUAGCCCCCUGAGUAGGUAUUGUUGUAUACCGAACUGGGUGAACAAUUCGCUGUGUUCUUUGCUAUUAAAAUGUGUAAAAAAUAAUUCUAAAAAAUGUGAAAAAAAUAAAUAUUAAAAUAGACGGGCAAACCCGCUGCCACCUUGGCGAGGCGUCCUAGAUUUUUAUGGUCAUUUUCACUUGGCGGACUUGUCUGCCCCGCUCUUUUUUUUUUUUUUACGGGCAUAAGGCAGGGCAGGCCUGGCGGCCCUUUUCCACCCCUAAUUAGGGCAUAUCGAUGGUAAUCUUUAAACCCUAACUAUUCGGUUUUAUUCGGAGGAAGAGUUUGAACAAACUAUCAUGUGCAUCUUUGAUUGCUUGAAAUAUUUUUAGAACUUGUUUGUCUUUAUGUGGUAUUUUCACCAAAUUCAAGAUAUGAUGAAUAAAACUGUGAAUAAUUGAACCUUUAUAUAGCUUCCUUUUUAAUAUUGUUGUUUGAUUUGAUCCUUGAUAAAAGAGUCAUUGUGUUUUUGUUACUAUUUGCAUUAGGCUAUUUCAUUUGUUUUAUACUCGUAAUAGAUAUUGUCACACACGACGUUAUACCUUUUGACACCUAAAGCUUCUACCAUUGUAUCUUGUGUAUUAUUCUUUAAUUGUUUCUCAAAUUUGAUACAUUAACAUUUGAGAGAGAAACCAACUAAAUUAUUCUUCCAGAGAAUAAUUUUACUGACGAUUACUAGAGGAACAAACUCAAAGAGGAUGAUAACUUAAUCUUCUACCAAAGUAUCAAACUGCUGAUUUUAACCUUUAAAUUUGCCAUGAUUAAAAGUUGAGUAGGAUUCAUUUACAUUUUAAUUGAUUUGUUAACUUAACGUUUAAAACUAAAUAAUUGACCGUUGAUAAUACUAUCAAAAUCAUUAAUAUUUACUUACGAUUUAUUUUAAUUUUUCCGUCUAUGAUUUGAGUCUGUUUAAGAAAUAGUCAUCUUAAACUUUAAAAAUGUGAUUUUAUAUAUUUACAAGUUUUUUAAUAUUUAAAAUUUUGGUUAGGUAAAACAAGAAAAAUAAAACAAAUAUAAAAUAGCUAUGAUAUUAUUAAAAUUUAGUGCAAUUUUUAAAUGUUUGAUCCACUAUUAAAUGUAAAAUGUGUAAUAUAAUGUAUAAGGAAAAAUCAAAAUUUUGUAAUUAGGUCAUACAAUAUUAUUGGACAAGAAAAAAAAACCCAACAAAUCAUUCAAAUUCACUUGCAACCAACUUAAACCGAUUUGAAAAUUAGGCGGAAAUCCUAUUAGCCCAAUCGCAACUUCUAAGUUUAAAUUGAGUAAUAUGUUUGAACUCAGUCCAAACAAUCCGUUGUUGUUAUUGUUAUUAUUAUUAUUAUUAUUAUUAUUAUUAUUAUUAUUAUUAUUAUUAUUAUUAUUAUUAUUGUUGUUUUUUUCAAGAUGAAAAUACAACAUUAUUAGUCAUAUCUGUCUCAAAUUGUUUUUUUUUUCUUCUUAAUUUUGUGUGAACAAAUCCAUCUCAACUUAUUUCUAAUAUUAUUGCCAAGCAUGAGGUUGCUAAUGCUGGGUUGCCUCUAAUUAAAGUCAAAGGUCCUAAUCACUGUCUGAGAUUUAUAAAUUUGAAAUGAAUGAAUGGUAAUGGCGUUAGUAAAUGGGACACUUGAUAGAAGAUUGUUUUGUCAAUCCCACACCCAUUGGUUUCACUAUCCCUUAUUCUCCAAACACAUCACAUCCAACAAUAAAAAUACAAAGACAAAAACACAAUAAUUAAAAGAUAGAAGAAAAUAGACAUGACAUGAAACGUAGCAUCUCUCAGUCCAUGCACUCCUUCCCCUUGUUGUCUUGUAGUUGUCAAAUUAAUACACGCUCUCACGGACACUUAUUUUGUCAACUUUAUUUUCUACAUUUACCUUUAAUUUAAUUGAGUAGAUUUACCUUCAUCAAAUAAAAUAAUAAAUAUUUAAUAUCAUGUCAUAUUUUAAUAUUAUUAUUUUUUAAAAAUAAAUUAAAUCUUUAAAUUCAUUAACAUUAAAGGUAUUGGAACUCAAUUAAAAUUCAUGAAUACUAAUAAAUUUAUCAUAUUUUUUUAAUAGGUUGUAUACAGGGACGGACCUAAAAAAUUUGAGUUGUGGGGGUAAUUUGUAAAAAUUUGUAGGGUUAAAUAAAUAUUAAAUUAUAUUUAAAAAUAUAAUUAUGUUAUUAUUAUUAUUAUUAUUAUUAUUAUUAUUAUUAUUUUCUACAAUAUUUUAUUUUAAAAUAUCUUAAAUGUAGUUUUAUAUUCAACAUUAUAAA